rnacentral:lncRNA from 1 species
GUCCAAACGCGUCCUCAGCCGCUGGUGGUGACAGGCAGGUGAGGGAGGGCGCGCUGUAGUAAACCCCAGCAGCGGCCUGUUACUUCGUUAGCGACUCUGUGUCGCUGUCCGGCUUGUUCAGCCUGCUCGUAAAAGCUUACAGGAUGUGUCGCAGUGCUCUUUGAGGUGACCACCUGUUCGCUCCCUCGGCCUUGUGUUCUCAUGGAAACCAGCGCGGUGAAAAGCCAGGCCACUCAGACACACAACAGCCUCUUUGUCUUCCACUCGUCAAAGCCGGAGCUGGGGAAAUGUGACAUGCAGUCAGCGAGCGUGGCUCAGCAUGACCGUUCAAAGCUCACCCGCAUUAAGCGCCACCUGAAAUGGCAGAUGACUCAAAUGUUCCAGAUCUUUGUAUUUUAUUGUGGUAUUUAUAGCCUUAACAGGUUGUGGUGGCGCGGAGGCACUCACCUUGUCCUCAUACUCUACCUGAGUCCAGUGUUCUCUCUUUUCUUUCUUUUUUCUACAAAAUCCCAAACAAAGACAUUAUGAUUUCAAAUUGUCUUGCCAUUAUAAUGUUUGAGGUCAUUCUAAUACUGUACAUGCAGGAAAAGAACAGCUGGUGUCAGCGUUAACAUUGCUGAAAGACUGAGACGGUUAGUGGUCAUUCAGCUGCUUGCUCUCCAGGAGUCAGACCUCUUGCUGCUUACUCAGUGCUGUAGGAUGCUGUCAAAGCCUGAACGUACAGUGGAUGCUGUACGCCGGCUGAACUUGUCUAAUAGCUGGUGCAUUGUCUGCUGCUCUGUGCUCUGGAUUCCAGCCUCAUUCAUUCCAUGCCUCAUUAGCUCUACCAGUCAUUAUCCCGUCUGACCGAUCAAAGGGGAAAUCUUGUGCUGCUAUUAAUAAUUGAUGCUCUCAGGACAGCCUGUCUUUUAACUUCGCUGCCGUUAUAACUGGUUUCCGUCUUCCUUUUCAUUUACACUUCUCUUUCUUCUUCUACUGUUUGUUUUUUAUUUCCCAUUAGCAUUUUCUUUCUGCACAUUAAGUGGAUGUUGUAGUUGUUUUUUUACUGGUGGCCUCACUAGGUGGCAGCAAAGCAACAUAGUACAGUAACAUGUUGCUAGAGAAGUAGGCGAUAAGGAUUCAAUAAAACCACAGACAAAUGCA